rnacentral:pre_miRNA from 2 species
ACAUAUCAAUGAGCAAAGAAAGUGGUUUCUUGAGAUGGAAUCUACUCCUAGUGAAGAUGCUAUGAA